AUUGAACGCUGGCGGCAGGCCUAACACAUGCAAGUCGAGCGGUGCGGCGGACGGGUGAGUAAUGCCUAGGAAUCUGCCUGGUCGUGGGGGAUAACGUCCGGAAACGGGCGCUAAUACCGCAUCCUAUCACAUGAGCCUAGGUCGGAGUAGCUAGUUGGUGGGGUAAAGGCCUACCAAGGCGACGAUCCGUAGCUGGGCUGAGAGGAUGAUCAGGCACACUGGAACUGAGACACGGUCCAGACUCCGACGGGAGGCAGCAGUGGGGAAUAGUGGACAAUGGGCGAAAGCCUGAUCCCGCCAUGCCGCGUGUGUGGAGAAGGUCUUCGGAUUGUAAAGCACUUUAAGUUGGGAGGCGUUACCAACAGAAUAAGCACCGGCUAACUCCGUGCCAGCAGCCGCGGUAAUUC
rnacentral:rRNA from 1 species